GGCGGAGUAGCUCAGUUGGUGAGAGCGCACGACUCAUAAUCGUGAGGUCGCGGGUUCGAGUCCCGCUUCCGCUACCA
rnacentral:tRNA from 1 species